ACGCUCGACACCUACGGGAGCAGCAGUGGGGGAUAUUGCACAAUGGGCGCAAGCCUGAUGCAGCGACGCCGCGUGAGGGAAGACGGUCUUCGGAUUGUAAACCUCUGUCUUCGGGGACGAUAAUGACGGUACCCGAGGAGGAAGCCACGGCUAACUACGUACCAGCAGCCGCGGUAAUCUGAGCGGGCUGGCAAGGC
rnacentral:rRNA from 1 species